rnacentral:rRNA from 1 species
UACGUAGGGUGCGAGCGUUAAUCGGAAUUACUGGGCGUAAAGCGUGCGCAGGCGGUUUUGUAAGUCAGAUGUGAAAUCCCCGGGCUCAACCUGGGAACUGCGUUUGAAACUACAAGGCUAGAGUGUAGCAGAGGGGGGGUAGAAUUCCACGUGUAGCAGUGAAAUGCGUAGAGAUGUGGAGGAAUACCAAUGGCGAAGGCAGCCUCCUGGGCCAACACUGACGCUCAUGCACGAAAGCGUGGGGAGCAAACAGG